rnacentral:rRNA from 1 species
GUGCCAGCAGCCGCGGUAAUACGUAGGUGGCAAGCGUUAUCCGGAAUUAUUGGGCGUAAAGCGCGCGCAGGCGGUCUCUUAAGUCUGAUGUGAAAGCCCACGGCUCAACCGUGGAGGGUCAUUGGAAACUGGGAGACUUGAGUGCAGGAGAGAAAAGUGGAAUUCCACGUGUAGCGGUGAAAUGCGUAGAGAUGUGGAGGAACACCAGUGGCGAAGGCGGCUUUUUGGCCUGUAACUGACGCUGAGGCGCGAAAGCGUGGGGAGCAAACAGGAUUAGAUACCCUGGUAGUCCACGCCGUAAACGAUGAGUGCUAGGUGUUGGGGGGUUCCACCCUCAGUGCUGAAGUUAACACAUUAAGCACUCCGCCUGGGGAGUACGACCGCAAGGUUGAAACUCAAAGGAAUUGACGGGGGCCCGCACAAGCAGUGGAGCAUGUGGUUUAAUUCGAAGCAACGCGAAGAACCUUACCAGGUCUUGACAUCCUUUGACCACUCUAGAGAUAGAGCUUUCCCCUUCGGGGGACAAAGUGACAGGUGGUGCAUGGUUGUCGUCAGCUCGUGUCGUGAGAUGUUGGGUUAAGUCCCGCAACGAGCGCAACCCU